rnacentral:lncRNA from 1 species
ACGGCGACGGCGACUUGCAGCACGGUGGCGAUGGGUGCGUGGACAGCGACGGUUCUCUCUCUGGAGGAAGCGUGCAAUGGCGAAAGCAAGCAACGACAGGUCCCUCCCUGCCAUUCUUACCUUUCCUGUGAUGGCUCUUUGUCGCUCUUGGUAGAGCGAGUACUGAUAACGUGUAAAGUGAAAAAGUGAUUUUCUAGAAGUGAAUGAUUCUCAUUGAUUGGGCACUAUAUAUAUACAGGGAGCGGUUACAAAUUUGUUAGAGUAUUUCUAACCGCAAGCAGCGGUUGCUAAUGCGUGAGUCAUAACAGUAACUGCACUAAGCAGUUGCUAACAUGAGAGAGGAAGUACAACUGCUUCUAGCAGUUAGAGAAUACAUAGUCGGUUCCUAAGUCGGUUCCUUAAUUAGGACUUGAUAAUUAGUAAAUAAUCAAGUGCUCUAAUUCUAUUCCUAACAAAAACAAACCACGCUGCAGCGGUGACGAAGGCAGACGGGUCAACCCAGGCGGGUGCAUUGAACCAAAAUGGCAGUGAAGGCAGGCUCACGGCGGGUCUUAAUGGAGACUGGCCACGGCGGCUCAACUGAGGCCUGGCCGGUCUGAAAAUGGCUGCUCAGAGCGAUGGCUCGCUGUGGAGAAGAGGAAAAAACUUCACUAUUAACUUUGAAAAAACUUCAUCAUUAACCUUGGCAUCCGUGUGGCCGUUUGAUUCCUUGGUUGAUCUUUUGACUAUUAGAAUUGCUAUCUGUCAAUCUGGAUUGGAUCCUUCAUCACGUGACCCUUUUUUAUUCCUCCUUAGCUUCACGUGGGAGUGGAUGCCAAGUCUCCUCUAGCACAUUCUUAUCCUGACGCAGCGUAUGGCAGCUCAGGGCGAGGUUGGCGUUGCAGAAUUGUCCGAGUCCAGGUCGUGGCUGAUUUGAACAAAC